rnacentral:rRNA from 1 species
UACGUAGGGACCGAGCGUUGUCCGGAUUCAUUGGGCGUAAAGAGCUCGUAGGCGGCUGCUCAAGUCGAGUGUGAAAACUCGAGGCUCAACCUCGAGCCUGCAUUCGAUGCUGGGCGGCUAGAGUCUGGUAGGGGGAUCUGGAAUUCCUGGUGUAGCGGUGGAAUGCGCAGAUAUCAGGAGGAACACCGGUGGCGAAGGCGGGAUCCUGGGCCGGUACUGACGCUGAGGAGCGAAAGCGUGGCGAGCAAACAGG